rnacentral:sRNA from 1 species
AACCAAUUUACCCCACUGCUGCUAAUCUAUCGCCGCUGCUAAGCUAUCCCUCACUACUAAGCUAUCUAUCGCUGCUAAUCUAUCGCUGCCAACCUAUCUAUCGCUGCCAACCUAUCUAUUGCUGCAAGCUAUCCCUCACUGCAAGCUAUCCCUCACUGCAAGCUAUCCCUCGCUGCAAGCUAUCCCUCGCUGCUAAGCUAUCCUUCGCUGCUAAGCUAUCCCUCACUGGCUAAGCUAUCCCUCGCUGGCUAUCCCUCACUGCUAAGCUAUCCCUCACUACUAAGCUAUCUAUCACUGCUAAUCUAUCGCUGCCAACCUAUCUAUCGCUGCCAAUUUAUCUACCACUGCCAAUCUAUCUAUCACUGCUAAUCUAUCACUGCUGUCAAUCUAUCUAUCACUGCUAAUCUAUCUAUUGCUGCUAAUCUAUCACUGCUAAUCUAUCGCUGCUGCCAAUCUAUCGCUGCUAAUCUAUUGCUGCUGCCAAUCUAUCUAUCACUGCUAAUCUAUCACUGCUAAUCUAUCGCUGCUGCCAAUCUAUCACUGCUAAUCUAUUGCUGCUAAUCUAUUGCUGCUGCCAAUCUAUCUAUCACUGCUAAUCUAUCACUGCUAAUCUAUCGCUGCUGCCAAUCUAUCGCUGCUAAUUUAUUGCUGCUGCCAAUCUAUCUAUCACUGCUAAUCUAUUGCUGCUAAUCUAUCGCUGCUAAUCUAUCACUGCUAAUCUAUCGCUGCCAACCUAUCUACCGCGGCGAAUCUAUCUAUUGCUGCCAACCAACCUACCUACCACUGCCAACCUAUCUAUCGCUGCCAAUCUAUUGCUGCCAAUCUAUCGCUGCCAAUCUAUCUACUGCAGUGAAUCUAUCUAUCACUAUCAUUACUAGUUCAAAAUAGAACUAAAGCAUAAAUACACUAAACUUCUUUUAAUAGAUAAUGAUUUUUGAUAACACUCAUAGCAUUAUAUCAUCUAUAUAGAGUAAAUCAUGAUCUCAUAAUUUAUAAGAAGAACAUGAUCUGAGACUAGAUUUAUAAUAUAAACAGUGUAAAGUGACUAAUUUAAUAAUGUCGGAACUGAAUAAAGUCCGAAUAUUGACCCA